GACCGCGAGAAUCAGUCGAUCCUGAUCACCGGAGAAUCCGGUGCAGGGAAGACUGUGAACACAAAACGUGUCAUCCAGUACUUUGCAACAAUUGCAGCCAGCGGAGAUAAGAAGAAGGAGGAGCAGUCUGGCAAAAUGCAGGGAACACUUGAGGAUCAAAUCAUCAGUGCCAACCCGCUGCUGGAGGCCUUUGGAAAUGCCAAGACUGUGAGGAAUGACAACUCCUCACGCUUUGGUAAAUUCAUCAGAAUCCACUUUGGGGCCACAGG